CCAGUUCCAGGGCGCACCACCCUAAGGCUGAUGUAGCAUGCACCCCGGGCCAUCGCGAUCCUUCCGGGUACCCCCUCGCCUCUCCGCGAUGAGACCGAAACCCGAGUGGGCCUAUAACAAGCGAACAGAAACCACGGCGACACUCAACACAAUACUCAGCCCGCGGGAUAGCGCGCUGGGAAGAGUGCGUGUGGUACAGGACCCCCUUGUGCGUUCGUAGAGAGGCUCAGUGUAGACAGUCCUGAAGACUACCUUGCCUUGUGGGACAGGGGACUCCACCUGUCAUCCUGUCCCCAGCCAGUAUGGAACUGAGGCUCAGCCCGGAUGCUCCAGAGACAAAUUGCCCUCCGGUCCAUCGUACCCAGUCUUCUAGUAUCUGGAAGAUCUCAAGAGACCUAGAGUGAGCCAGUCUUCUGCUAGCAACCUUCAGACGAAGACGUAGAACUCUCAGCUCCUCCUGCACCAUGCCUGCCUGGAUGCUGCCAUGUUCCUACCUUGAUGAUAAUGGACUGAACCUCUGAACCUAUCUGAUCAUCCAGAACGCCCAGCGAGGAAUCCAUGGAGUACUGAUCUCCCCGUGAAGAUCUCCUGUAUGAAGAGGCUUUUCAGAGGAGGUUGAAAAUAUUCUAGAAUUAAAGACCAGUGAUGUUUGCAUGGUGUGGUGGUGGUUUGUAUGUGAUACUCCCCACAGUCUGGGGCAAUGGAAUGCUCUGUCAGCACUUGGUGGCACUGUUGGGGUGGGGGCGAGGUUAGGUGUGGCCUUGUUGGAGUACUGUGUUACUUAGAGAUGGGCUUUGAGAGUUUAGAGCUUCGUGCCACUUCACGUUCCCUUCCUCUGCUUCCUGCUCGCAGU